AAGGGUGAAUUUGGCGAUUUAAGUGCCUUUCAAUUGAUAGCCUGUCGAGUGAUGACCUUUCACCCGUCACGUCAGAUCGUGAAGCGACCCGUUAUUUUCUCAAACACAUUACACACACCAAGUCAAAUCAGCUCUGUUAUUUUCCGUUUUUUCGACUGUUUACCCGUACCUUGGAGACAUCAUGCCUCGUCGGUGUGUUGUAGGAGGGUGUAACAACACGAACAGAGAUGGAUUCAAGUUGCAACAGUGGUCAAAAGAAGCGAAAGUCCCUUGUUUGUUCCGCACACUUUACAGACGACAGCUAUGCUACGACAGAGAUGGCAAGAAUGUGUGGAUAUCCUGCGACACUCAUUUCCAACGAUAAAGUCAACGAAAUCACAAAGUCCCCUCCCGGUCAUCAGUUGCAGGUGUGCUGCCAGUCAUCUGAGCCCACCUGCAUCUAAUCAACAACCUGACUUAAACCCUGGAUCUCCACCCAGCCAGUAUGGUGAACAGACUUUUGACCCAGUUUUCCUGGAGCUGAUUUGUUGUUACUAUUGAAUUAUUUUCUACAGUGAUUUUUGGUUAUUAAAUAGAUUUUUUUACUGAUCCGCACUUGGAUUCCUUUUUUGAGACCUUAACAGUAUUAAUGUUUUGGCAAUCAAAUCACCGUUUUGAGGUCUUUAAAAUGCCUCAAACCUGUCACAUAACAUGCUCAGUAACAGAAAGUGGGAAAGAUCGUAAAGAAAAAUCAUGCUCAUCAUGACAGGAUGCAGAAAAAUCAUGUGUG